UACGUAGGGUGCAAGCGUUAAUCGGAAUUACUGGGCGUAAAGCGCGCGUAGGCGGCUUUGUAAGUUAGAGGUGAAAGCCCGGGGCUCAACCCCGGAACUGCCUUUAAGACUGCAUCGCUUGAAUCCGGGAGAGGUGAGUGGAAUUCCGAGUGUAGAGGUGAAAUUCGUAGAUAUUCGGAAGAACACCAGUGGCGAAGGCGGCUCACUGGACCGGUAUUGACGCUGAGGUGCGAGAGCGUGGGGAGCAAACAGG
rnacentral:rRNA from 1 species